UACAGAGGGUGCGAGCGUUAAUCGGAAUUACUGGGCGUAAAGGGCGCGUAGGCGGCCCGCUAAGUCGAACGUGAAAUCCCUGGGCUCAACCCAGGAACUGCGUCCGAUACUGGCGGGCUUGAAUCCGGGAGAGGGAUGUGGAAUUCCAGGUGUAGCGGUGAAAUGCGUAGAUAUCUGGAGGAACACCGGUGGCGAAGGCGGCAUCCUGGACCGGUAUGACGCUGAUGCGCGAAAGCCAGGGAGCAA
rnacentral:rRNA from 1 species